rnacentral:rRNA from 1 species
UACGAGGGGGGCGAGCGUUGUUCGGAAUUAUUGGGCGUAAAGGGUGCGUAGGCGGUUUGAUAAGUUUGGUGUGAAAUCUCCCGGCUCAACCGGGAGGGUGCGCCGAAUACUGAGAGGCUAGAGUGUGGGAGAGGAAAGUGGAAUUCCUGGUGUAGCGGUGAAAUGCGUAGAUAUCAGGAGGAACACCGGUGGUGUAAACGGCUUUCUGGACCAUAACUGACGCUGAGGCACGAAAGCGUGGGUAGCAAACAGG